rnacentral:rRNA from 1 species
UAAUACAUGCAAGUCGAACGAGUUCUCGUUGAUGAUCGGCGCUUGCACCGAGAUUCAACAUGGAACGAGUGGCGGACGGGUGAGUAACACGUGGGUAACCUGCCCUUAAUUGGGGGAUAACAUUUGGAAACAGAUGCUAAUACCGCAUAGAUCCAAGAACCGCAUGGUUCUUGGCUGAAAGAUGGCGUAAGCUAUCGCUUUUGGAUGGACCCGCGGCGUAUUAGCUAGUUGGUGAGGUAAUGGCUCACCAAGGCGAUGAUACGUAGCCGAACUGAGAGGUUGAUCGGCCACAUUGGGACUGAGACACGGCCCAAACUCCUACGGGAGGCAGCAGUAAGGAAUCUUCCACAAUGGACGCAAGUCUGAUGGAGCAACGCCGCGUGAGUGAAGAAGGCUUUCGGGUCGUAAAACUCUGUUGUUGGAGAAGAAUGGUCGGCAGAGAAACUGUUGUCGGCGUGACGGUAUCCAACCAGAAAGCCACGGCUAACUACGUGCCAUCAGCCGCGGUAAUACGUAGGUGGCAAGCGUUAUCCGGAUUUAUUGGGGCGUAAAGCGAGCGCAGGCGGUUUUUUAAGUCUGAUGUGAAAGCCCUCGGCUUAACCGAGGAAGCGCAUCGGAAACUGGGAAACUUGAUUGCACAAGAGGACAGUGCAACUCCAUGUGUAGCGGUGAAAUGCGUAGAUAUAUGAAAGAACACCAGUGGCGAAGGCGGCUGUCUGGUCUGUAACUGACGCUGAGGCUCGAAAGCAUGGGUAGCGAACAGGAUUAGAUACCCUGGUAGUCCAUGCCGUAAACGAUGAAUGCUAGGUGUUGGAGGGUUUCCGCCUUUCAGUGCCGCAGCUAACGCAUUAAGCAUUCCGCCUGGGGAGUACGACCGCAAGGUUGAAACUCAAAGGAAUUGACGGGGGCCCGCACAAGCGGUGGAGCAUGUGGUUUAAUUCGAAGCAACGCGAAGAACCUUAUCAGGUCUUGACAUCUUUUGAUCACGUGAGAGAUCAGGUUUUCCCUUCGGGGGCAAAAUGACGGGUGGUGCAUGGUUGUCGUCAGCUCGUGUCGUGAGAUGUUGGGUUAAGUCCCGCAACGAGCGCAACCCUUAUGACUAGUUGCCAGCAUUUAGUUGGGCACUCUAGUAAGACUGCCGGUGACAAACCGGAGGAAGGUGGGGAUGACGUCAAAUCAUCAUGCCCCUUAUGACUUGGGCUACACACGUGCUACAAUGGAUGGUACAACGAGUUGCGAGACCGCGAGGUCAAGCUAAUCUCUUAAAGCCAUUUUCAGUUCGGACUGUAGGCUGCAACUCGCCUACACGAAGUCGGAAUCGCUAGUAAUCGCGGAUCAGCACGCCGCGGUGAAUACGUUCCCGGGCCUUGUACGCCCCGCCCGUCACACCGUGAGAGUUUGUAACACCCGAAGCCGGUGGCGUAACCCUUUUAGGGAGCGAGCCGUCUAAGGUGGGACAAAUGAUUAGGGUGAAGUC